GGGAGCCUACAAAGAGGAGGGGAAAUGGUUUUAAGCUGAGGGAGGGAAAAUUUAGGUUGGAUAUCAAGAAAAAGCUCUUCUCUAAUAGAGUGGUAAGGUGCUGGAACAGACUUGUCAAGGGAGGCUGUAGGUGCCCCGUCUUGGAGACGUUCAAGGCCAGGUUGGAUGGGGCCCUGGGUAGCCUGGUCUGGUAUUAGGUAUGGAGGUUGGUGGCCCUGCCUAUGGCAGGGGGGCUGGAACUUAAUGAUCUUUGGGGUUCCUUCCAACCCAAGCUAUUCUAUAAUAAUGCUUAUGUGCACAUCACUGAAAUUCUGCAUGUCAAUAGUAUAAAAUGCAGAUCUCAGAUUAAGCUGUAUCUUCCACUAAAUAACAAAUCUUCACCUUAAAUACAGGAGUACUUUCACUGCAGAAAUAAAAAUCAAUGCAAAAAAAAAAAAAAAAAAAAAAUUUGUUGAUCAUUAGCUCCUCUGCUAUUCUUCUCCAAAAGAAAUCCAACGAACACUGGAAGCCAAAAUCCUCAACUGAAGUCAUACAGAAGUCAAGUCUUACAGAAUGCGGAAAGUGGUAUUAGGAAGAGAGACUGAGAUGGAAAAUAAUCCAGUUCUUGGCACAAGGAUGAAGGUUGAACAAUACAGGCUAUCUACACUUUCCCAGCAAAACCAGUAUCACUCUUGAACCUGGGUACAGUGAUUAGUGGUGUCUUUAUGAUGUACUUCUCUAAUCCAACGAGCAAACCCUAGCUGGAAAUAAUGUUUCCUCAUAAAUUCCUUUCAGUGUAAAACACAGUAAUAAAUAACCCCAGCUCAGCAUA